GACGAACGCUGGCGGCGUGCCUAAUACAUGCAAGUAGAACGCUGAAGAGAGGAGCUUGCUCUUCUUGGACGAGUUGCGAACGGGUGAGUAACGCGUAGGUAACCUGCCUUGUAGCGGGGGAUAACUAUUGGAAACGAUAGCUAAUACCGCAUAACAAUAGGUGACACAUGUCAUUUAUUUGAAAGGGGCAAUUGCUCCACUACAAGAUGGACCUGCGUUGUAUUAGCUAGUAGGUGAGGUAACGGCCCACCUAGGCGACGAUACAUAGCCGACCUGAGAGGGUGAUCGGCCACACUGGGACUGAGACACGGCCCAGACUCCUACGGGAGGCAGCAGUAGGGAAUCUUCGGCAAUGGGGGCAACCCUGACCGAGCAACGCCGCGUGAGUGAAGAAGGUUUUCGGAUCGUAAAGCUCUGUUGUAAGUCAAGAACGAGUGUGAGAGUGGAAAGUUCACACUGUGACGGUAGCUUACCAGAAAGGGACGGCUAACUACGUGCCAGCAGCCGCGGUAAUACGUAGGUCCCGAGCGUUGUCCGGAUUUAUUGGGCGUAAAGCGAGCGCAGGCGGUUUGAUAAGUCUGAAGUUAAAGGCUGUGGCUCAACCAUAGUUCGCUUUGGAAACUGUCAAACUUGAGUGCAGAAGGGGAGAGUGGAAUUCCAUGUGUAGCGGUGAAAUGCGUAGAUAUAUGGAGGAACACCGGUGGCGAAAGCGGCUCUCUGGUCCGUAACUGACGCUGAGGCUCGAAAGCGUGGGGAGCGAACAGG
rnacentral:rRNA from 1 species